AUCGAUCGCGAAUAUCCAUAGAAAACUAUUGAAAUGAUUUUCUUUUACAAGUAAUUAUAGAGAUGUCUAUGAAAAAUCUGAAAGCGACAGACAUCCUGGAGGCUCUAGAAUCGAAGCUCGCAUAUAUUCCAGGCGGUCGUGAUCGUGACGAACGGCCUUUAAUAGUAAUUAGUGUUCCUCCAGAACUUGACCCAACAACAAAACCGAAACUAGAAUCUCUCAUUUUAUAUUUUAUAUCGAUUUUCAGCGAAGAAACGAAAGAAAAGGGUUUGGCUUUAAUCGUGGACGCGCGUCGUGGUGCAUGGCGCGUAGCUAGAUCCUGUAUUAGGCUAUCCACGAAUCUCGCAGGAUCAACAGCCGUUUCCGUGAUCGUGGUACGUCCCGAUGGCUUCUGGGACAAACGCGUUGAUAGUUGUACCAAGUCGCAUAAGGAGGGAGAACCAAUAUACGUUACUCUAACGAGAUUGCACGUUUAUAUCGACUUUUCUCAAUUACCGUACGAGUUGGCAGGUAACAAGGCAUACAAUCACGUAGAAUGGAUUAAGAAACGUAUGAAAAUAGAAGAUUAUUCGAGAGACGCGUUAGAACUAAUAUCGAAGAUGACAAAUUUACAUCAAAGAUUGAAUACUCUUGAUGGUAUUCGUAUGACGCAAUCAGACGACGAUAUAGAAUCUUAUUGGGAGAUCGGUACAGAAUUGUUAUCAAUGGCACGUCACAUACUUCAAUCAGGUAGAAACCUAGUCAGUUCUAUGAGCAGAGAAUCUUCCAAAGAUGCUUUGGACAUGAUUAAAGAAAUUCAUAAACUGCUCGAUGCUAUCGAAUUAAAACAGAUGGACAUUGAAAAUUCGUGGAUAGAAAUGGAACGAAAUUUAGAUACUGCCAGAAUCAUCGAAGAUCUCGAGCAGGGUGUAUCGAGUGUCACCGAUUGGAUCCUGGGUCCAGCGGAUAUGAUGCUAAACUCUUGCUGUCAGGUCGGUUUCGAUGUUUCUUCUUCCGAGGAACUGCGAAGACAGCAUGAAAAGCUUGAGCUUCAAUGUCGGGAAACUUAUGGACGAUACGCGGAAUUGCUCCAUAAAAUUGAUAGUCUCCCAAAAAGCAGACUACCCGAAGACUUAAAAUCUCAGAGAGAUUUCAUGGACUUUGUUUGUCGUAGUUUUGCUUCACGACUCGAAAGACGUAGAAAUGUAUUGAUUACUUCGCAGAGAUUUUUCAGGCUUGUCUCUGAGUACUUUGAUAGAACGAGUGAAGUGUUUGAAAAGUUAGUCAUGGGCAGCAGGAAUUAUAAUUUCUCUCAGGCGAGUGUUAAGCUUUUAACAUUGGAGAAAAGUCAAACAGUUUUAGACAAUUUAGAGCGCGAACUCGUAAAGGAAGGCGAGAAAUUGUCGGAUAUUCUCUCUAUGCCGGUGAAGGAUGCGCUUGGACGAGAAGUUUACGUGAAUUACAACGAAGAUAUCAUAAACGUAAAAGAUAUAUUAGACGCAACAAACGCGAGGAAAAAUAUCUUUAACGAUAGCGUGGAAUUGCAAAAGCUAUCGUUGAAACAAGUUGCCUUGAUACACAUGUACGAGAGCGAUGCCGAACAGGCUGUUGAAUGGUUGAAGGAUCUAUUUGACGUACUACUUCGGAAUCAUAUGGAAGUUGGAUGUAAUACAAAGGAAAUACAAUCGCAAAAAGAGGAACACCAAUCCUUCCAGGAAACUGCAAAGGGGACUUAUGAAUACGGUGGUCAGUUGGUAAAUGGCGCGCGCGUAUUAAGAUUAUCAUGCAGAAUAUCUUUAGAGAGCAACGCUGGUAUCUUCUCGAGAUUGCGACAAGCUUGGCGGCAAUUUCGAUCCGUUAGCCAGGAACAGUUAACCAGAUUGCGAGUAUGCGCUGUCUUUCACAGGAACGUUGAAGAUCACUGUGCCAGAUUGCAAAACUUGGUGGAAACGGUGACGACCUUAUAUCGUGCUACAAAAGACGAGGAUGCAGUAGCAAAAUCGCGUAUCAGAACAGACAUAAGAGAUAUUCUUGAUAAUCGAGAGAAACUUUUAUUGGAGGUUGGCCGGAUGGUGAGACUGGGUCGUCUCCUCAAAACAAGAUUAAAAGAACCUCUUUAUCAGCAAUCGAUGUCCGAUGCCGAGGACACCUCGAUUCUCGGCAGUAAUCUGACAGCUGUGGAAGCUAUCUCGGCGAAAUUGGCGGAAGUUACGCGUCUCGCGGAAAAACUGGAUGCGAGACUAUGCGAAGCCGGAGCUAGAACUCGACCGAUAUCUAUUCCUACCGCUGUGACGUCUUCCGCUUCGUCCUUGCUCUCGAUAUCUGCUAUAUCGCCAUCAGGCACGCCCAUCCGCGCGACUUCUAUUGCAACCGCACCGGCAUCGGCUGCGACAGUUUCGAUUGCGUCUUCAAUUAGUCAAAUACGUCCAGCGGAAACUACGACUGUGGUUGCCAAGUCCCUAACUCCUAUGGCGGAAAAGUCUGAUGAGAGUUUACUUCACAUCCCGAGCUCACAUUUCGUAGAGAAUGUCGAGACAUCGAAUAAAGAUUCCAGUGCCAAGGAGCUUACUCCUCGUAGCGAAAGUACGGCAGAAGAAUACAAUGUGGAGUAUUAUACAACGGCGACUGAAUGCUCAAUAACUCCACCUCCGUGUUCCAGAAGUGAAUCUUUUGUAACUUCGCCGGAAUGCGAAGAUCUUUCUACAACGGCACCCGUGACGAAUCUCGAUUCUACUUGGGCCACCGAAAUGUCUAAAGUAGCAACUACCGAAAUACCUUCAACUAUCGCGGAAUCUCUUUCUGCUCCAAACAAUGAAAAUCAGGUGUUAAAAUUUACUGAGGCGACACCAAAUAUCUGCACUACGAGUGAAAUGAAACCAACAACACAGAUUGAAACGAUGGAUAAAAUUACUGACGAGAGGUCAGGCAAAAUUGUAAAAGAAGUAACCGAGACGACCGUUUUACGCGUAUCGCAUGAUAUUCGAUUAGGAGUAGCCUCUUAUAAGUUAACUUCUAAUAUUGUGCAAGAUCAUCGACAGCAUAUCGACGCGAAGAAUUUGCAAAAUGUAGAACGUGUGCUACCAGCGGAAUCUCACGAAAAAACAGACGAUGUUCAUCGUGAUCUUGAUUUAUCUCAGUACAAAGAAUCUGAGAAAUAUAUCGGUAAAUGCCCGACAAAGAAGAUUCAAUCGGAUCAAUGUAUGACAACGAAACUCACAAAGAUCCGAGAUCAUACAUUGAAUGAGAGUUCGCGCUCCAAUUUGCGAGAGUACGAGGAUGCAUCCUUGCAGGAUCUUUCACGAUAUCACGAGGAUAGUGGAAUCGACAUGUCACCGAUGAAGAAGGAGGAUAAUUUGGAAGGCGAAGAUUUUCUCGAAAGAGCGAGGAAGAGUGGCGAAUGUCUGAAGCUGAAAAUACUCGAGCUACAACCAGAACUAACGAGACUCGGUGCUUCCGCAAAAGAAGCCACGGAACUCUCGAACGCGCACGACCAAGUGUUACAUCGAUUACGGAACAAGCAGAGCCCGGUGGAAGAAUUGUUACGGCAGGCUGAUCAAUUGAUCGCGACCCAGAGAUCAAAAGCGGAAGUAUAUAAGGCCAUGGCAGAGACAUUGGGUCAAGCGUGGCGCGAUGUAAAUCAACUUUUAGAACGUCGAAAGGAGAUACUUGACCGAAACGUUUUAUUUCAAUGUCGAGCGACAGAAUGUAGAGAGAGUAUGGAGGCAUUGGAAAUGGCGUGUAAUGACACGUUACUGCCGAUCGAGAUCGAAGCGGUGAAAAGUUUUUUAUCCAAGAUCCAGGAUCUUCGCAAAGAUAUGCUGGAAGCGCUGAUGGGCGCGUUGCGCGAAGGCAAGAUGUUGUUGGACGAACUGAAAGAAUUGGCGAACGAAGGCACCUUGGACUCCAGGCCAGAUACGAUUAAAGACGAAGCUAAUCACGCCGUACUGCGAGUUGAAAGGUGGCUGGAGGAGCUUCACGACAGACGGCGGCUAAUCGAGACGUCUUUCCGCAAUAGAAAAACCCAAUUAGAGCAAUGCCUCGCUCUCGCGUUGCUCGCGACCGAUCUUCGCGAUCUCGAGGAAAUUCUCAACGACAGAAUCGCCGCGUUAGCGAACAGCUGCGAUCAAUUAGGUGAUUCUGCAUCUAGCGCCGAACUGCUUCUCUUCGAACUGAAGAAGUUGCAAGCCGAAGCAAAGGAAUUUCAAGACAGAGCUAUUAAAAUAACUAAAUCGACCGAACGAUUAGUGUCAUCGGGACACUUUGCUGGCGAACAAGCGACCGAACAGGCGUACGCGAUUCUUAGCGUCGCCGCCGAUUAUGUCAACGACUUGGAUCAGCAUAAUACAUUGUUGAACAAGGCGAUGAUCUUUUUCGAACUUGCACGAUCGGCUAUGACAAAGCUGGACCAAUUGGAGAUUCAGUUGAUGACAACGGAGCAUCCUCCUUACUCCUCGCGACUUGCGCGUUUUCAUGCACAAGCGGUGACUACGAUAGAAGAUGUGACUUCAAAGCCCUUGUCCGAAGGAUACGCGCUGCUGAAUGUCACGGGAAGAGGAGCGCCUGGUGCCGAGGGUAUAAAAAAUACUGUAGAAGAAUUGGAAAAUCGCAAGAUUUGUUUGAUGGAAAAGUGUACAGCUCAUAAAGAGGAAAGCCUGGAAAUUUCGAGGAUGCUUACCACAUUCUUGGAUAAGCACGACGCGUUACGAACUUGGCUGACCAGCAUCGCUGAAGCCUUUCUGCAAGGGCAUCAAGACAUGGGCAGCGAUCUGACAAUGGCAUGCGAUUUUCGUCGGGUUCAUUGUCAAUUGCUCUGCGAUCUUGAGAAUAAGAGUGAGGAAGUGGAUCAUUUAGAAUUGGAGAUUCUUCCAAUCAUAGAACGCCUGGACGAGUCUCAGAAAUAUGAAAUGCGAUCGAAAAUAAAAAAUCUUGAGGACGAAUGGACGAAAACAAAAAUUGCGGUGUUGAAAAGAAUCGAUUUGGGUACAAUUUAUAUACAGUUUCACGAAAUUAUCGAAGAAUUGACCAAUGAAAUGGAUUAUAUCGAUAACGAAUUGAAAAAGUGUGAUACAUUAGAUGAGACCAAAAUCAAUGAGCUGGAAAGAAAAUGGAAAUCUCUUGAACCUCUUUACAAGAAAUUGGAUGAUCGUGUAAAAGCAUUUCUCGGUGAAGCCGGCAAUAUCGAUGACUCUUAUCUUGAUAUAUCGCGAGCUUGCCUGUGUGUCCAGACUCUUUUCGAGAAAUUUGUGAAUCGGCAAUUGGUUAUAACAGAAUCAUGGGAAAAAUGGCAGACUACCAUCGAAAUUACGAGACAGAGACGAAUUGAAUGUGAGCGAAAAGUUGAAGAAAGCAUAAAGACAUUAGCGUGGAUUACGAAACUUGAGACAACGUUGUAUCCAGUGAUUACAACACGAUCCACUGGAAUAGCCGAUACUUUGGAUAAUUUGAAGGAUGUAAAACGACAGAUUUUAUCUGAGUUAAACACGGCUCUUCAGGAAUUGGAUAGCAGAAUCAAAAGCAUUCGAGUAUUUGUCGAAAAAGAUGAAGUUAAAACAACCGAGCAGAUUUCAGAGAGACUUGUACAAAUGCAAGAAAAGAUGAAUACUGUCGUCAAGGAUUACAAAACAUUAUUGGAAUCUUUAAUCUCUAUUUUUAAGAAUCUCGAGGAGAUUGAGCGUAAAAUUGAUCAAGCAAAGCAAGAGAUUGAACGUGUAUUAAGUUUUAUAAGACCUAUCGAUGUGGAUAGCACAUUAAACGAAUUCAACAUAUCGAAAACGUCUAUUGCGGAAUCUUUGCUACGAAUACGUACAACAUCUGAAAAAAUAAUCGACACCAUUAGACUGCAGGAACCAUUAGAAUCAGCGACACAAGAUGCCGAAAAACUCAAAAGCGCAAUAGAUUCCGUGGACGCCGAGUUUGAAUCAUUUCAAAUCGAAACAUCAAAUCGUCUCGAAAAACAUCGACGAUUUUGCAUUUUUAGAGAGGAUAUCGAAAAGAUUAACUCAGAUCUGCGCGACUUGAAUGAACAAUUAAAAAACGUGGAUGAAAAAAUCGGUGACAAUUUGUCGGCAUCGAGAGCGGCAUUGGUUGCUUUUGAACAGUUUGAACAAACUAUAAUAACUUUGGAGGAAAAAAUUGAAACAUUUGUGAAAAAAACGGAAGAAACCAUCUUUCCGUUAACGCCACAAAUGACAGAUGAGAUUUCAUCUCUGCAAAACAGAUGGUACCAUUUGAGAGAAUGCAUUAAAAAUACCAAGAAGCGAAUAAAUUUAAGUAUCGAAUAUUUCGUACUUUUGGAAGAAGCAAAGCAAUGGUUUAGAGAAGGCAGCAAACUCUUGGUAAUCGUUGCACGUAAGGCAACAACGAUAAAAGCGUCUGAAGAAAUCACAAGUUUGAUGCAAGAGAUCGACGCUUAUAUAAAACCGGGCGAAGAACAGCAAGAUAAGAGGAUCGAAGAGCUCAAACGAUUAUCGACGAUAAUUUUCGGUACCGACAGGCUCCCGCAAUUCAACGAAGUGGUUGUAGAAAAUCGGCAAAUGUUGGAUUCUUUUGCAGUCGUUUCCUCCGAACUGCGCACUUUGAGUCAAAAUUUGCAAAACGCCGAGGACCUGCGGGAGAGGCUGCGCAUCGAGAAACUGGAAGCUGACAAGAAAUUAGAGGCUGCUAAAAUAGAGAUGGCCGCGGCGGAAGCUGCCAGAAUGGAAGCUGAAAAUGCGAGGAAACUUGCGGAACAGCUUGCCGCUGAGACCUUGGACAAAGCUGCAACAGAAGCGCGAAAGUUGAAAGAGGAGGAAGCUCGAAAAGUUGCUCCUCCAACUGUCUCUCAUUCUGUCUCUGCUCAAACCGAUGAGACAGUAGUUGAAGAAACCAUUACUUCCGCCAUGACAACCAAAGAGAUUCACAUUCUUCAAAAGAUGGAAAUCGAGAAAAAUGUUCCGAUUAUUCAAAAGGAAGCUAGUCCGUCGAGAAAUCUUGUGUCCGAGGAAACACAUCCCACUGAAAUGCGCGAUCACGUUGAAGACGCAGAAGCAGACAAAAUAGUUUCAUUGGCUCCAGAAUUCACAGUUCCUUUAAGCGAUGCGACGAUUCAAGAAGGCAAGGAAUUCAGUUUCGAGUGUCGCUUGAUUGGCCAACCGACGCCAGAAAUAGUCUGGUACAAAGACGGAAUAUCGAUUUUGAAUAAUCCAGACUACGUAACGACUUAUACGGACGGCAUUUGUACUUUGAAAAUAGAAGAGACAUUCGCUGAGGAUUCUGCAAGAUACACUUGCCGCGCAUUUAAUAUUCGCGACUCUGUCGAAACAUCAGCCACUCUCACUGUCAUAGAAACUAUCACUGAAGAGCAACCGAGCGCUCCCGUUUUCGUGAAAGAAUUGUUACCCUCUUCUGCGAGAGAGGGAAAUUCACAUAGAUUAGAAUGCACCGUUGAGGGAAAUCCUCUUCCGACAGUGCAAUGGUAUAAGAACGACACCAACAUUGAUAAUUCUCCGGAUUACGUCAUCACUUUUAAUAAUGGGGAAGCUGUUUUGAAGUUUGAUGAAAUUUUCUUGGAGGAUAAAGCCUUGUAUACCUGUAAAGCAACGAAUAGAUGGGGGCAGUCGUCUACUACUGCUUCUUUAGACGUAGAACCCGCGCAAAUUUCCACCAAGAAACCAUAUUUUGUGACACCGUUAUCAAACGUUAUGGUCAGGACAGGACAAAGGGUAAAAUUGGAAUGCGAAGCUAAAGGAGAACCAAUUCCCGAAUUAAGUUGGGCUCAUGACGGAAAACCGAUUGAGGAAACUAAAUAUCAUAGGAUUCAAACGGACGGUGCACGAACAAGCCUAGUCAUCACGGAAGCAUUUCUAAAGGAUGCCGGGUGUUACACGGUGAUUGCCAAGAACGAGGUCGGAGAGGCUACCGCGUCUUGCAUCGUUUCCGUAAAAGGACGUUUGCUUCACGAAACCAGCGAGUCCGAUAUCAUUUGCAGCGAUACGGAACUGAUAAUUCCGAAAAUUCAAUUACCUCUGCAGGAUCUCAAGAUACAAGAGGGACGAUCGGCUAGAUUAGAUUGUGUGAUUAUAGGUCAGCCUGAACCAGAGGUGAUAUGGUAUCACGAUGAACAACCCGUGAAGGAGUCGUCAGACUUUCAGCUACUCUUCCAAGGUGACAGAUGCUCGCUAGUUAUUCAUGAAGCUUUUCUGGAUGACGCUGGAGUAUACAAAGUAGUCGCCAUCAAUACUGGCGGUGAAGCUUCUAGUCAGUGUACAUUAACAGUUACACCUACAUCUCACAUCGCGGAUGUAAUCGAUCGAGUACAAGAAAAGGAAAAAGUCCUCGUUGAAGGUUCCGCGCCAAAGUUCGCCAGACUUCCGACAGAUUUGCUUGUGGCUGAGGGUGAAGAUGCUAUUUUCGAAUGUGCCGUGACUGGAGAACCUAAACCUGAUCUGAGAUGGUAUUCGGACGACGGUGAAGUCACUCAUAGCGAAAGAAUUCUGAUUGAGAAAAAGGAAGAUGGAACAGGGCUUUUGAAAAUUUUGUCAACGAUACCGGAAGAUAAAGGCAAUUAUGUGGCAAAAGCCAUAAAUAUACAUGGCGAAGCGAAAGCUUUCGCCAGGCUGGUUGUGAAAACGCUCGGUGAUUUUAAAAGAAACGAAGAGUUUAUUCAAAUGGAAGAAAAAUUGAUUCGACCGGCGUUCAAAGAAGUAUUCGAAGACCGAAGAAUACCCGAAGGCAUCUCGACAAAAUUUGAAUGCAUCGUCAUCGGUAAACCUUCUCCCAAGAUUCAGUGGUUGUUUAAUGAUCGGCCGGUUCAUGGAAAAGAUUUCCUAGUUUCCGUUAGCGGAGAUCGGCAAGUUUUAACGAUUCCUGAAGUCGGAGAUGCGCACGUUGGCACGAUUUCUUGUGUAGCGGAAAACGCAGCUGGUAAAGCGACUUGUAGCGCUAAAGUGGAAAUUGAUAGCGGAUCAGUGAGACAGAUUGCAGGUGAGAUCGAAGAAGUACUCGAGUUGGUUCCACAUUUUCCUGCAGACAUUAUGCAUCCUGCAAGCAGUAGCGAUAAGCACUUCGCAAGCGAGAAAACGUAUCAUGAGGGCGGUAGCGAUAGUCAAGUGCUAACGAAAAUGUCAUCAACCGUCACGCAUUCCUCGUCAACGACCACGAAGAAGGAAUUCCUAUCGUCAACUAUGACUUCCUCUUUAUCGCAAUCCGGACAAGAACCUACCAGUGUUUGCACAAAAACAACUGUACAAAGUUCGGAGCAGUCUACUUCGGAAAACGGAGCACCACCUGUCGUACAGUCUCACAAAAUCGAGGAAUACGAAAAAAUAAUACAGGAUCGGCCUGGUGAAAUGCGACAAGAGAAAACUGUUCUCGUUUCUGAAGAGAUGGAAGGCAUGAAACGUGACAUCAAGGCGAAUCAAAUUCAGAAGCCAUCUCGGAAACCAGUAGCACCUAGAUUCGUCUCGCCGCUUACAGGAAUGAUUGUCGAUCAAGGAGAAGACAUUGUUUUCGAGGGUAUUAUCGAUGGUUUUCCGCAACCGACGGUUCUAUGGUCAAAGAAUGGUCAAGAAUUGACAAUAAUGGAUAAUGUAAAAAUUAGUUAUGCUCAUAAUCACGUGAAAUUGGAACUAAAAAAUGUCAAUGUGAAAGACGCUGGACGUUAUACUUGUACAGUGAGCAACGAUGUUGGAAAUGCUAGUAGUACAGCCGAUCUCGUUGUCAAAAAGACAAUAUUUCCCCCGGUUUUCGGUAAACGUCUCAAGGCUCAAGUAGCGAAGAAAGGCGAUCGAGUUAUUAUGGAAGUAGAAAUCACAGGUAUACCCGAGCCGACGGUCGGUUGGUAUAAAAAUGACGUGCCGAUCAAUGAACGACCACCAGAAUUAAGAAUUACUCAACAAGGAAAUUGUUAUACAUUAUUCAUAGACAAAGUUAAAGAAGAUGACGCUGGCAAAUACAUGGUACGUGCGACAAACGCCGGUGGAGAAGCGCAGAGCAUCGCUGAUGUUGCAGUUUUUGAACCAAAGCCCGAUACUAUGGUCGAGGUGCAUAAAACUGUCAUCUACGAAAACAUUCAGGAUAAAAGUGCUGUUCAGUCCAAGGGGAAGGAAGAAGAAAUAUCAUCGAGUAUUUUGACGAGCGAACAGAUACCUGCGAUCCAACCGAGCCUAUUAUUCAAGCCAAUCACACCAUACAAAAUCGACACUAUACAAAAAAUCGAUGGACCGGAAAUGAAGGCUAGUAAAUCGGAAACGAUCUCGUCUAUUAUCGAAUCUCACGAAUCCGAAAUGAAAACGGAACAGAAGUUUCAUAUGAAACUAGAACAUAAAACUCCAUCGAUCAUGGAGUCCAAGUUUCGAACCGAGCAAAUCGCGAUAAAGGAAGCUGACGAAAGAAAAGACGUUUCGAAGCCAUUGAUAACAACGGAAGAGAAAUCAACGAUCGAAAAUGAAAACAUAGAGACGUCUACGAUUGCAAAGAAAGAUGCAUUGAGCUUUUUCGAAUCUAUUACGAAAGAAAGCGAGGCUGUGGCAAAAGGACCAAAGGAAAUGAUUAAACUAACAGAGGAGGGGCAAGUUCAAGAAGCUAAAGUUGGAAAAUUAACGAAAAAUUAUGAGCAAGCAACCUUUCAAGAGGUAAAGAAAUCGACAGAAGCAAGACCGUCAGAGUUUCAAGCAACAAAGAAAGCCGUUCAGGAUAUUUUCACUAAAUUGGAACAAGGACCGUCACGCGGAGUAGAAAAUAAGCUGUUUGAGUUUCCGUACGAAAGUUUUAAGCCAACGGAAUUAAAAAAAACGGCGGUGGAGGAAAGCAUAAUCUCUGAUUCGUUCAUUUCGCAAACGGAAAGCUCCGAAACGAUGAUGAAAAGUUUCAAUCUGGUACCGGAACCACCUCCCGAGAUAUGUUACAUGCCAAAGCCGGGGGAAGCAAAAAAAAAACACCCUGAUGUAUUCGUCAAGGCAAAGCAGCUACAAGAAUCCUUUGACAAGACACUUUCCCCAAUAGACGCUCCUAUCGGAGGCGUGAAGAUCUUUCCUACACCCACUCCGAAAAUACCGGAGCCUACUAAACCUGUGGAGCCCACAUUUACGAUACCACCACCGUUCGAAUUUGAGAAAAAAGAAAUAUUCGAGGAGACAUGUAUAAAGAGAGAUGCACUUCUGCAAGGAAAGAAGGAAAGCAAAUAUUUGAAGGAGGAAAAGCUGGAACCAUCGAAAUACGCAUCUGUAUCCUCAACGUCUGUCUUGAGAAGUACUUCCCCUAGCAGACCAUGGUCGUCAUCAUCGGAUGUGGAAACUAAGUCGCAUGUAUCUACGGACUUGUCGGAAUACAGAUGCCACUCGGCCGCCUCUAGUCAAGAAGUCCUGAGGGCAACGUCGCCCAAACCAUCCGCGGACGCACUGGCGAUGGAAAAAUCCUGGGCGAAGAAAUACGCGGAUUCGAAUAGAAAAUCGUGGCCACCCCAGGUCGAAUCCGCUCAGAAACGCGAAUGGAAUAUUCCCGUUGACGAAUGUAAGAGCUCCUCGAGGGAAUUUACGCGGAAGGUCGAGGAGACGUCGCAAGGUGAAAUAAAGAAGAUUAGCACGGAAUCAUCCGCUAACGUGGAGAAACGCUCGUGGAGCAGUAAAGAAGAAUUUACGGAAAAGAUAGCGGAGGGAUCUCUGCCUACGUCAAAACUUGGUCCGAUAAUUUAUAAUGCCGAGACGAUUAAAGUCGAUCAUACUGUGAAUCCUGCACAGGAGAAGGCUCUGCUCGAGAAAUACAUGAGUCAGCGCAAUGUAGAAAAGGCGGAAACGAUACAGAAAUUUGAAGAAUUUACCUCGAAACGCUUGACAGAAGAUAAAGAGUUAAAGGCACCGGGCUUGGUAAAGAAAGUCGAACCAGUCAUAAAAUCGCUCGCGACAUCGCAUCUCACGGAAACAGGAAUCGAUUCGAUCAUCCUUGAACCAGGGUCACCUCCGGAAAUUGGAUAUAUUCCACCACCCUUUGUAGAAGCUCCAUUGGAGCAUAAGAUAGAAAAGAAAGAAGAACCACCUGUACUUCCACCUGUACUCCCACCGAAAGAUGCACGUAUCACGCCGCCACCUAUUCCAGCCAAAAAAUCGGUCAAGCCCUCGUCGCCGGCUCCGUCGAAAUUCAUCAAAGGUUCGUAUAGCCAUGAGAGCGAUUACGAGUCUGAUUUCGAAGGUCGUCCGAAAGCAAAGUGGAGGCCAUACGAAAGCGAUAAUGAGGAGCCGCAUUAUCGAAGAGUCAGGGCACCUGUUUCGAAAGAACCGACGAGACCGAGAUCUACCGAACCCGAGCCACUUCCGCCCUCAAAAUUCGAGUCCCCCGCGCUAUUCACGGGACCGUCCAAAUCGCUCAUCACUACAGAAUCUUCCGAAAAGACGAUGAAAAAGACGACAUUUAAACGACACGAGAGAGAAUCCAAGCAGCAGCAGCAAACCUCGAUUCCUUUGAAACCCGGCUCUCCACCGAUUUAUGUGCAAGCGACAGCAAAGAAUAACGUUCCGAAAUCUCCCUCCACCAAGAAACCGGAAUCUCCGAAAUUCAAGACAAAAGUUUUUCAGCAGGAAAGCGGUUACAUGGCGGACACAGAUGAGCCAUUCCAACAGAAGGCUUCGUCUACGACAACUACGACGCAGAAAUCUUUUGGCAAACGUGAUGGUACUUCAACGAUGGUUCACACGGAGACUCGUACCACGGAAAGUAGGACGAAAUCCUUCGAGAGUCACAGUUACAAAUCUGAUCAUUUACAAAAAGAAGAAUCUUCUUUCGUUUCGUCACCCGUUUGUACACCAACGCCUCCCAAAGUUGUUCAACAACAACACAGUUCGCUCGAGAAGAGUUAUUCCUCGACGACUAGCAGCGGUUUACGCAGAUUCGAAUCCUUGAAGGAAACUGGGCAUUCCAUGGAUCAGUCGUACAAAAAAUUGGAACCAGUGGAAAAGGUCCUACCAAUCUCUCCGAGUCCUUCGAAGUUUGUGAAGGGCGAUUUCCGCGAGAGCGACUAUGAAAGCGACUACGAUCGCAGAACAUCGCCAAGCUUUACGAAACUUAGUGUCAUUGAUUCAGCUCUGAAACGUUCGCAGACAUCGCGUCACGUCACAUGAGUGACAUGACAAGCAGCUUCAAAACGAAAACCGAGAAAUUCGUGAGUGAUAUCCAGUCGGACUUGAGGCAGAGCAAGCCGAUUCUGAAGCAUCCUGUCGAUUCGAGGACGACGGAUGACGGUGAGGAGCCGAGAACUUAUAGAGAAGAAUCGCGAGUCUCCGAACACGGAACAAAACAAAUCGAUCCGGACACUGGGCUCAUAUAUUUCAAGUAUGACUUUGGUUACGAAUUCGGUAUCAUUUUGCCUGGUGAGGGCAAGAAAACGGUUGAAAGCAGUCAGAAGAGCAUUCAAGGACAGAGACGUCCCAGUGACGUAGAUGUACCUAUAACACAUGAAUUUACCGAGAAGAAAGC
rnacentral:misc_RNA from 1 species